GUUACUUUCUCCGUUUCUUCUUCCUUCUUCUUCACCUCUGUUGCUCCGUCUUUCUCCGGAGCUCCUACUCGUUUCUUCAUGGGGCUUCUUCUUGCAGAACUCGGGGCACGAGUGGCUGGAGACUGUGAGCGACGCCUCGGAUUAUCCGAUAACCCGCUCCGUGGGAGUGGACCCGAAUCCACAUUUCGCCGGUUGUGAGUAGGGUUUGGUUGACGAGACUGUCUCUCUCGGACUAACCUAGGACGGAGCUGCUUCCCCUGAGGAGAAUGUCGUUCUGCCGGAGAUCUGAGGACUCUGUCAGGCCUGUUACGGCGAGAGGUGGAAGAAGAAGGAGGAGGAGGACGGUGAGGUUUGCUGAGAGCAUCGUCUUCGAGGAUGGACGCAGCGGUAGCAGUUGUGGCAGUGGAGUAGCUGUGAGAGACAGAGACGCUGCAAAUG